rnacentral:rRNA from 1 species
UACAGAGGUGCCAAGCGUUAGGCGGAAUCACUGGGCUUAAAGCGCGUGUAGGUGGACGGGUAAGUAUCUUGUGAAAUCCCACGGCUCAACCGUGGAACUGCUGGAUAUACUGCUUGUCUUGAGGCACUUAGGGGCAGCUGGAACAAAUGGUGGAGCGGUGAAAUGCGUAGAUAUCGGGAGGAACACCGGUGGCGAAGGCGGUUCUCUGGGCCUUACCUGACGCUGAGGAGCGAAAGCGUGGGGAGCGAACAGG